rnacentral:lncRNA from 1 species
UGCCGCUGAGAUGUUUCCUAGCUGUGCACAGAAUUCACUCUCCUACUGGAGGGCUCUGACUGAAAGCUCUGAUGCGGCAGGCCUUCUCUUGACACUUGGUUAAGGUAUGCCUCUCACAUCUGUAUGCCCACAUCUGCUCUCCUCCCUCCCUCCUUCUCAGCACUUAGCCCUCUGAUAUGGUUUGCUGGCGUCCCCACCCAAAUCUCAUCUUGAAUUGUAGUUCCCAUAAAUCCCCACGUAUUGUUCGAGGUACCCCGUGGGAGAUAAUUGAAUCAUGGGGGUGGUUACCCAGAUGCUGCGGUUCUCGUGUUAGUGAGUUCUCGUGAGAUCUGAUGGUUUUAUAAGGGGCUUUUCCCCCUUUUUCUCGGCACUUCUCCUCGCUGCCGCCACAUGAAGAAGGAUGUGUUUGCUUCCCCUUCUGCCAUGAUUGGAAGUUUCCUGAGACCCCUCCAGCCAUGCUGAACUGUGAGUCAAUCAAACGUCUUUCCUCCAUAAAUUACCCAGUCUCGGGUAUGUCUUUAUUAGCAGUGUGAGAAUGGACUCACACAUUCUCCUAAUGUAGUAUACAUGUGUUUGCUCAUUUGUCACCAUCUCUCCAUCUCUAGUCUCUAGAAUAUGAGAUCUGUAAGAACAGGGACACCUAGAAUACGAGAUCUGUAAGAAUAGGGACAUUGUCUGUAUCAGGUGUUCAUGGCUCAAUCCCAGCACCUGGAACAGCAUGAGGCACCUGGCAGGUGCCUGACAAACAUUUGCAGGGAAUAUGUGUGCAUGAACCUGCAUGGGCAGGAACAGGUGCAUAGGAACAUGGAUUGUGGACGUGCAUGUAUGUGCGUGCAUAUGUAUACCACUAUGUAUACGUAGCUUAUUGUGUCUUUGCAGUGAGGUUUUCAAACCUCUGUCUUGUUUCCAGGAUUUCCUGAAGACACCAUCCCAGUCAAGUGGUCUGCCUCAUACUGAGCCACCAGACCACCCAGCAUGUCCUCACCCGCGUGGACAGAUGACAGGGGGCUCUGAGCAUGCCCCAGUGCACCUUACGCACCUGUGAAGGUUGGGAGCCUGAGUGCAGCUCCUGUGGCACUGCCCGUGGCCAGGGAGAUGCCUCCUCAGUGCUCCUGACCCUCGGUGGAGGACCGGCCAGCGUGUGUGCCGACAGUGUGUCCACACAGGUGUGCUGCGCCCAAUGGGCAAGUCGGAAACAAAGGAAAAUGCUCUCUGAAGGAAAAGGCAAAGCAAUUUGGAUUUCUGCGAGAAAAUGAGACUGCAUGUGGCACUGUAAAUACCCUUGCUGCUGAACUUCUCGCUCCCCCCAGAUACACCCUUCAUAUUGACAUGUCUAGAACCUUAAACUGAACCAAGUUGAAAAGUGAGAUUAAUUAGGGCUGAGUUAACAGUUAACACAUACAAUGAAAUAUUGAAUAAGGCUUACUGAGCAAACAAGAAUAUACAGAAGUGGAGGAGACAAAGAGGAUAUUAAAAAUGCAGACAGUGAUGAGGCAGAUAGCUGGGACAAAUAAUGAAAAAUAGUAAAGGAGAUAAGGCAGAUAUUGGAGGAGCAAAGAGUCUCUGAAAUAGAUAUCGGUAUUGAAAGAUGCUAAACACGCUUCUAAAGAGACUUUCUAGCCGACACAGGGAGCUCACUGAUGGAUGAAGUAGAAACAUUUUUAAAUGGAAUCAAACAGGGCAAAGCGGGAGAAGAAAAAGAAGUAGGUAAACCAGUAAAUUAACUUUUCUCGUGUGUGCUGUGUACUAUUUGUGAGUGAGCAAUGAACGCUGUGGCUCCCUGGAGGGGCUGUGGUGGGAAGUUUCACUGCGAUCAAGUAGAGGUGGUGCCUUUGGACCUCUUCUCCUGAACCUGCAGGGAGAGGCGCAGAAUAUUCACAAGGUGAAGAUGCAACAAUUCAAAUGAGUGUCCAGGUUUUCAGGGUGGUUGCUAAACCCCAAAAGACCGAUAGCUUCGGGCAAAAGACUGCAGAAAGAACAGCUUUACAUUUUUACGGAAGCAAUGGGAAAUAUACCCUGUAAGCCUUGAAAAAUUCCCGAAGGGAGACCACAGAAGAUUUUGUGCAUGUGGUUAUUUCAAUAUUUAAUUUAAGUGUAUGCAUGAGUGUUCAGGAUAAAAAUGCUUGGAGUGUACUUUAAUUCCAUUAAAAAUGUAUACAUUAUUCAUGUCCUAUGGACUGUCCACUGUGUGACUCAGAGAGCUGAGGGGGUAGAAAUAUAUUCAUUCAUUCACUGUCUCCUUAAAUAUUUACUGAGCACUUGUUGCCCGUUGAAUAAGUUGUUGUUUUAGGUUCCUCAUGGUAGCUGUGCAGGAAGGGUGCAGAGUGGCCUGAGGGGCUAUUGGGAAAGUCCACCUUGGGUUGAGGGAUCUGGGAGGGCUCCCUGGAGGAGGUGGUGUUGGACUACAGCGAUGGGAACAUAAAGGAGCUGGAGAGAGAUUUGGGUGCCAGUCAGCACAAGAAAGGCCCACACAGAGAAAGUCAGGCUGGGGCGAGAGUGAGCCCCCCAAGCUGAGAGCUCAGCCUGAGAGCAUGGGAAGCCAUCCAGGAGCUGAGAAGCCAGGCUGGGUCUGACCCCACUGAUUCAGAUCCCUCUGUGGCCUUGGGAAAGGCCAGAGACAGGGCCGCAGGUGGGGGCUUUGGUGAAGGGAGCGAGAGUGUGAGCCAGUGCCACGUAGAGAGGACAGACGCAGGGAUGCCAGCCAGGGUGCCGUCGGCCAAGAAAGGAAGGUCCAGCAGGCACAGUGUCAGAGGAGGGUCCCAGAGGAAGGCACUGGGAACAGUCCUGGCCCUCAAAAUGUCACUGUCUGAGGGUCUUGACCUCUGGCUUGUGAGCUCACAGAGGGCAGCGCCCUUGCACUCACCUUCCUGUUGACCUGCAGGGCCAAGCAUUGUGCCGGACAUAGGGGUGAACAGGCACAUGCUUCCCACCUGUCAGGGAGAUUCUUGCUCUCCUGGCUCUGCCCCACCCCUGGGGGCUCUGCCAGCUCCUCGGAACCCUGAGUCCAGGGCAGGGCACGGUCUCAGGUCUUAGCCUGAUGACGUAGUACAGGCUCUAGGCCCCAGGAGGGACAUGGCACUUCCUGCAUCGACUCUGUCACUGGUCUCCCCAGGGCUUCCCUCCCCAAGCCUCAGGGGCUGUGGGGUACCCCAUCCUCUCCACAGAACACGUGCACAGGCCUCCAGGAGAUGGUUAAUAGAACGGAGAGGUUUUAGGGAAGUUUAUUUCUAUAGCUCUUACAUUUAUUUAUAUUUGUCAAAUAUGUUCCCAUCACUAAAAUCUCUUUGGAGCAUUUUCAAAAAUUAAAGAAUUGCGUCUAAAAAUACUGACCUUGAUGUUCAGUGUGCAUGGGUAACUCUCCAGGCCCAGCAACAUCAAGAGGCAGAUGUGACAGCAGCCGUGGCUGCUCAGGGGGCCGGGAAUGCGGGAAAGGGGUGGCUGUCAAACAGUCUUGACAAGCGGCUGAAUGUGACUGUGUCGGAUUUGGAAAGUGCAGCCUGAGAAUUUGAAAUCCAUUCACUCCCCACCCCCAAGCGUUUUUUCAUGUAUUCGUUCAUUCAGCACACCUUGAAUGAACACUCUUUUAUUUGCUACCUAUUCAGGGACACUACACAGGCCCGUGACCAUCACACGCCCAGCCUGGCCCCGUGCUGUGCCUGAGCAGAGGACUGUUGGCAGAUGGUUCACUUCCACCCUCCAUGAUAAAUGCUGAGAAAAGAAAGAUCAAGGGCUUCAGAGCCCACUGGAGGGAAUUCAUACAGCCGGGGGCCCAGGAAGCUGCUAAGGAAACUGCCUGGACGGCAGGGUGGCCGUGACCACGGGGACGGGGAGAAGGACCCAGAGGAGCUGAGGAAUCCUUGCUGUGGAAGGCACCAUAUGAGCUGCGUGAAGUCAGAGUCAAAAGCAAACCCGUCUCUUCUUGACAGUGGGACCCAGGAGGCAGGACAACCUGCCAGAGAGGCUGAAGGAGGUUCCCUCAGGCUGGAUCCUCGACAAGAAAAAGGAAGAGGGUCUGCCUGAUUCCCUCGCCAACAACAGCUGGUCUUCCAGAAGUCAGCAAUCUCUUGUCCCUUGUCUUCAAAAGCCCAUGGAGCUGGAGGCAGGCAGCUGAGGUCAGGAAGAGAAGGUGCGACCCAGUCCAGGAAGGCUGAGUCCUCGUGAACCCUCAGGGCUGGGGUGAGGGGCCAGUGCCCGGCCCAGACACCAGCACAGCCCUGCAGUGGGAGUUGAUCUCAGCAGAUGGACGGGCACCGCCCAGAGGAUGGACUGGUCAGCACCGCCCGGAGGAUGGACCGCUCAGCACCGCAGUGGCCGCUUGGCCUAAUUUGCCACCUGAAGAGCCGCCAGGUCUCCAGUGACUCUAGCACCAUGGACAGGAGAGGAGCAGGGUGACCUGAGGGUACAGAGAAGGUUCUGCUGUAAUCAAGUUCCCCUGCCUGGUCAGAGGGCUCAGAGGUUUGAGAGGGGAGGGAUUUCCUUUUAAAGCUGCAGGAUCCCUGUGGGUCCAGAAAGAAACACAGCCAUGGCGGGCAUCCCAUGGAGGGUAGUGACCAGGAGCAGGACAAAGGUGGAAGGUGGGUGGAGCCCCCACAUGGGCCUCAGGUCACAUUGGACAUUUCCUCAGCAAGUGUCACCUGGGUGGUGACGAAUGGGGGAGGAGAACAGAUGGAAUGCGGAGAGUAGCAGUGUGAAGCUGCACCGCCUGGUCACCACUCGAGAUACACAGGGUUUGCUCUGCCUGAGGAGCACACGCUGGCUGCAGACACGGGGCAACCACGUGAGAAAGGUCAGACCCAGGCCCACUCGCCUUCCAUAUGCAUCUUAGGGACGGGGAUGCCUGCGCCAGCAGCAGCCUUGCUGCCCCUGCGUCCCCCAGUGCACCUGCCAGGGCAAAGCCAACAGGCAGUGCCAAGGACCUGAGGGAGGAGGUGGGCUUGACUUCGAGGCAGGGCACAGACACCAGACCACGUGGAGGAGCAGCUGAAACAGGGCCGGUGGCAGCAGCCGCCUGUGAGACGUGCCAGCCGGUGAGCCUUGUUAGUUUACCAUUGCCACGGCAAGACCCAGAAGUUACUGCCACUUCCCACGGUAAAAUCCCAAUGACCCUGAGGUUUCUGCUCCUUUUCUAGAAAUUUCUGCAUAAACCAACCCCUAAUUAGCAUGUAGUUAAAAGUGGGUGUAAUUAUGAUGCGGAGCUGCCUCUGAGCUGCUCUUCUGUGCACUCUGCUGUCCUGGGGCAGCCCCUCUGCUGCCGCU